AAAUUACCCAAUCCUAAUACAGGGAGGUAGUGACAAGAAAUAACAAUACAGGACUUUUCGGUUUUGUAAUUGGAAUGAGUUAAGUAUAAACCCCUUUACAAGUAUCAAUUGAAGGGCAAGUCUGGUGCCAGCAGCCGCGGUAAUUCCAGCUCCAAUAGCGUAUAUUAAAGUUGUUGCAGUUAAAAAGCUCGUAGUUGGAUUUCUGUUAAUAAUUUAUAUAAAAUAUUUUGAUGAAUAUUUAUAUAAUAUUAACAUAAUUCAUAUUACUAUAUAUUUUAGUAUAUGAAAUUUUACUUUGAGAAAAUUAGAGUGCUUAAAGCAGGCAUAUGCCUUGAAUACUCCAGCAUGGAAUAAUAUAAAAGAUUUUUAUCUUUUUUAUUGGUUCUAAGAUAAAAAUAAUGAUUAAUAGGG
rnacentral:rRNA from 1 species